rnacentral:rRNA from 1 species
CUGGCUCAGAACGAACGCUGGCGGCAGGCUUAACACAUGCAAGUCGAACGCCCCGCAAGGGGAGUGGCAGACGGGUGAGUAACGCGUGGGAACCUACCCAGAACUUCGGAAUAACUACAUGGAAACGUGUGCUAAUACCGGAUACGCCCUACGGGGGAAAGAUUUAUCGGUUUUGGAUGGGCCCGCGUAAGAUUAGCUAGUUGGUGAGGUAAUGGCUCACCAAGGCGACGAUCUUUAGCUGGUCUGAGAGGAUGAUCAGCCACACUGGGACUGAGACACGGCCCAGACUCCUACGGGAGGCAGCAGUGGGGAAUAUUGGACAAUGGGCGCAAGCCUGAUCCAGCCAUGCCGCGUGAGUGAUGAAGGCCUUAGGGUUGUAAAGCUCUUUCAGUAGGGAAGAU